rnacentral:rRNA from 1 species
CCACGGGUGGCAGCAGUGGGGAAUAUUGGACAAUGGGGGCAACCCUGAUCCAGCCAUGCCGCGUGUGUGAAGAAGGCCCUCGGGUUGUAAAGCACUUUCAGUGAGGAAGAACGCCUGGUGGUUAAUACCCAUCAGGAAAGACAUCACUCACAGAAGAAGCACCGGCUAACUCCGUGCCAGCAGCCGCGGUAAUACGGAGGGUGCGAGCGUUAAUCGGAAUUACUGGGCGUAAAGCGCGCGUAGGUGGCUUGAUAAGCCGGUUGUGAAAGCCCCGGGCUCAACCUGGGAACGGCAUCCGGAACUGUCAAGCUAGAGUGCAGGAGAGGAAGGUAGAAUUCCCGGUGUAGCGGUGAAAUGCGUAGAGAUCGGGAGGAAUACCAGUGGCGAAGGCGGCCUUCUGGACUGACACUGACACUGAGGUGCGAAAGCGUGGGUAGCAAACAGGAUUAGAUACCCUUGUAGUC